AUUUACUGAGGCCAGCCGGGCACACAGCAAGUGCUCGAGAACCACCGAGAGUUGUGGGAAGUGAGGCAUCGCCACUAUUUUUAUUGCAACUCUCACUGUUUCGGGGCAGCCUCCCAGGCACCGGGCCGAGCACAGAACCAGUGCCCCACCUGUGUUUGUUGCAUGACUGCCUGACUCCAGCCAAGACAAGAGCCAGUGGGACUGGAUGGUGGUGACUGUAGGCCGCAGCAGGCCACAGGCCACUGGGGUGCUCACCGUUUCUUCGGCACCCGAAGGCCAAGAGCGUUCGCGGCUUACUUCAUCAAAAUCUCACAGUGCCGCCUAAGCAGGACCGCUGUCCUUCUAAGAAGAGAGCUGCAGCAAGGGGAAUACCAUUGUUGACAGAGGCAGAGACGGGAGUGACGCUGCUGAAGACCAAGAGGUGCCAAGGAUCGAUGCCUACCGCGAGAAGCUAGGAAUGACAGCUGCCCCUAUCUCACAGAGUUGAGGAUGGAAAGGAAGAGCAGUUACUCUUGCCUCCCUUACGCAUGGUGUACCGUCUUCCAGGAGGCCUCUCUGCCCGCUGCCCCCACCCCGGUCACUGGAUUGUGUCUCCCAGGUUCCCGUGGAUGAUGCUGGAUCUCAUCUACUCCCACAUCUGGGGGGGCUGGCACAGAAGGCUCUUGAACAAAUGGAUGUCUGACAG